rnacentral:tRNA from 1 species
GCCGCCGUAGCUCAGCACGGCCAGAGCGCUGGCCUUGUAAGGAUGGCUUCAGGACAGCCAGUGGUCCCGGGUUCAAAUCCCGGCGGCGGCU